AAGGGAGCGCAGGCGGACGGCCAAGUCCUUCUUAAAAGUUCGGGGCUCAACCCCGUGAUGGGAGGGAAACUGGUGGUCUUGAGUGCAGGAGAGGAAAGCGGAAUUCCUAGUGUAGCGGUGAAAUGCGUAGAUAUUAGGAGGAACACCGGCGGCGAAGGCGGCUUACUGGGCUGUAACUGACGUUGANGCUCGAAAGCGUGGGGAGCAAACAGGAUUAGAUACCCUGGUAGUCCACGCUGUAAAC
rnacentral:rRNA from 1 species